AGGUUUGGGCAGAGUUGUCCCUUGGGUAUAGUGAAUCGGGGUGACUACCUCGGGUCCUGCACUUUGGGGGGCCCCGCGCUUGGAUGAAAUCAUGGGGAGGUGAGAUUCUGAUAUAGAUAAAAAAGAUUUGUAAAUGUGUGUGAAUCCCUCCAAGCAAUUCUACCUGUGAAUUUUGGAUUGUGAUUUUAUCAAGAGUUAACCUUAAAAUCUACAGCCUGCUGUUAGAUAUCUUCAAACAAAAAAAGGUAAACUUACCUUCCAAAUGCAUUUAGGAGAGCAACUAUUUCUUGACGUGUGAGCUGAAAACCUUUUGACGGGCUAUUCUCGGGAAGGUUCUGAAUCUCUUUUUCAGAGAAUAAAAUCUUUAGAGCAGUUCCUAAGCCUUGAGUCUAAAAGAAAUUCAGUAUUUUUAAACCAUUAAUAAAACAGUCUAGUUCACCCUUGCAAAAUUGUCAAGAGAAAUUUACUUAUUCAGGCAUAACUCCAUCUAACAUACAACACUCUGCCUUCCCCUUCAACACCUGGACAUGCUCCCACAUGUACCAGUACACACUUAACAAUAUGCAUGCACUCCUCCAAUUACACACCAAGUUCAUUCUCUCUCUUUUACACAUACACCUCACCUUCAAAUUCAUGAAUUCUCUUCCCAUCACCAUCAAAUUUCAGUUCUUCCCUCUCCCUCCCAAAUUCAUGAUUUUUCUUCUCUGCUGAACCAAAUCUACUACCACAAAGCAGCAGUUCUUCAAGGUUGCUAAAGCCACCUGAGCCCCUCUCCUCUAAUCAGGCAUCCGCAUGGCUGCCUCAAAAACCUCUCCCCCUCAAUCAAACCAUUAGGCUCCUCACCUCCUGGCUGCUCCACUGUCAGUGUUACUACUUUAGCCUCUGCAGGGAAAGAGGGAGAGGUUUCUGCUUUAACUCCUUCCUUUGUGUGUAGAAAGUGGCUAUUAGAGAUUUUUGAAGUGCUUAGGUGCCAGUUAUCUUCUAUUCCCCCUUCCCCCCGCCACACACACACACACACACACACACACACACACACACUUACUUCUAUGGCCUUUGAGCAGGGAAUUGGACUAGAUGGCCUCCUGAGGUCUCUUCCAACCCUAGUAUUCUAUGAUAAGGACCCAUUGGAUCUGAACAGGAGGCAGUGGUUGGGGACAGUUUCAAGAGGAUGCUGCAGGACAGGAGAGGUGUGUGCCUGGCUUAAGUUGGCCUCUCAUGAGGAGAUAAAAGGAUAGUGGAAGCACAGAGGAGCCAGUGGGGGGGGGCGGGAUCUUGAGGAUUCAGCAGGUGUCAUUACAUUUGCUCCUCCACUUAUUCUGCUGCUGAGCUGAAGGAGGGUGAGUGGAGCUCCCUCCAUGCCUGAUGAUGUAAUGCCAGCAAUUGCUCUCACAGUAUUGGUUAUUCUCAGUUCACAUUUUUAAGACUAUUUCCAACACUCAGGGAUAGUAACUUUAAAUUUUGCUUUUAUUUAUGUUUAAGAUCUGCAGAAGUCAAGACAUUGGUAGUGUUAUCAACACUUGCAGUUUUAUUGUGAGUCUUGUAACAUUUGGCUUCUUUCUUAAAGCUGCAGUUCCUGAAGACUAAUGAAUACAUGAGAAUCUCAGCUUUCAUUUUAAAAAAGGUUCUAGCCCUAAUGGUUGCAGAGAGAAGUCUGAAAUCAUGAAGUGAGGACACGCUAAAGAUGCAGAAACUAAAAAGCAAACAGAGUGUCCAAAAAUAUUUGAAGUCUGAGGAUUCUUAAGCCAAUCUCAUCAUUUCUGAAUGCUUGAUACCUUUGGUUGCUAUCGGUAUUAAACCUGCUUGGCAUUUUAAGGCAAUUAAAAAGGUAAAAAAUUGCUUUUGCUGCUAACUGUUCCUAUUCUGGGUCUUAAAACCAAUUCUGCUUGUAUAAAUGAGCGGUUCAACUACCCCUGCUUUCUAAA